UUGCUUUAGCAGCACUUAUACUAAAAUUGGAAUGAUUCAGAGAAUAUUAGCAAGGCCCCUGCACAAGGAUGAUAUGCACAUUCAUGAAGCAUUCAUAUUUUGA